UACAGUUUACAAUCUAAGGUAACACCAAGUAAUUUAGUCGCCUCAACUUGUUCAACAGCCACACCAGUCAUUACCAGAUUCAGCAGAGGUCUAGAAUGCCGCAAUAGAGUAAUUAUUGGAAGACACUACAACUCCUCAUAACAGACACGUGUAACGCCUCAAAUAUAACGCCUCAUACUACAUUCGGUUACAUUCUACUAUUGUUUACAUAUUGUGCAUCAUGUUCAAUGGGCCAAGAGAAUGAAAAUCCAAGCGACAGAACCUAGCAACACUUUCCUGUGGAUAUCUCCAACUCUUACCACCAAAAGGACCAGCAGCAUGUACAACCGGUAAAGUAAGUGUAAAUAUCAUUUUAUUCAACAUUCUGGCUUGUAGAGACUCUUUUCUAGGUGCGACUUCGGUCAGACAGAAAAUCCAUGGAGUAACCAUGAUAACAGUCUGAUGUUUAGACAAGCCCCAAGACAGAGCCUCUCCAACCCUAAGUUGUCCAACCAUCCCUACUUCACCCUGGAGAGGCUGGGGCCUGUGCUUAGACCGCUGGCAGGUGGAGGUACAGUCAGAGGCCUGAACAGCGACUCCUUCAACUCUCUCCCUGUCGCUAUCUGUUUCUUGCUUGUAGUCUUGUUUUAUUCUCGCUCUGAACAGCUACUACUUCAUGUAGUAGGUGUAUGGAUGCUGUUUGUGUAACGGCAUUGUUGUCAUCUCCUUUUUCUCUCAUGUUUAUCUUCACUGAUACGCAAGUAUUUGAAAGUGUGCCCGACAACUGAUGUAAAAGGGCUUUAUAAAUACAUUUGAUUGUACGCAAGUCUUUAUACUGCAUGUAUUGGUUAUCUAAUCUUUCUCACUGGUAGGGUUCUGUUUUUUCAGAUGGUUUCACUACAACAGGUGAUAUCAGGCAAGUAAUACGACAGGCAUCUGACGAUUUCACUGUCAAUAGUUGAACUUUUCUUCUGACCAACACAUUCCUCACCUUUCCCACCUUCCCCGUUCUCCCCCAGUGGACAGUGUGUGACUUGAGUUUAUUCAGUCGUCUGUGGUGGAUCGUGGACUUGUGCAACCUGUGGUUAUACUGGACCUCGCUCAGGUGCGCUGGGGCCAGGCUGAAGGUCUAGGAUGAUCUGAAUCCAGCAUUAGCAGGAGAGGAGAUAAGCAGAUUCCCCUCUAUACUGGCUCGCUUCUGAGUGGGUCAGCGCACUACAGAUAUGCACCUUCUGAUGGUCUGCAUGGGAAACCAGUUUUGUCUUUUCACUUCUCACAAACAAAACAACUGCCAAAUCAAUAUCUACAAUAAUCAAAAUAAGAGAUGGACGGAUGGGAAUAGCAAAAGGAGACUUUGACCUGACCUGAGUCUCGGGCCAAAGAACUUCUAGAUUUGCGCCACUUUUAUAUUAUGACAAGUAACUGGGACUCCAAAUGAUGAUUGGAUCACUGUUCGUGUGUUGUUCUAAUGAUAAUAUACAUGGUUUGCAUUGAUACAAUUUCAGUUGCUGCUCUUUGAAAUGUUGCUUGAGUAGUAAUAUUGUAAUAAAAAAAAAGUUUCAAGACA